CGUGUAGGCGGUGCGGUAAGUUGGGCGUGAAAUCCCCGAGCUUAACUCGGGUGGGCCGUUUAAGACUGCCGUGCUAGGGUGCGGGAGAGGGAAGUGGAAUUUCCGGUGUAGCGGUGAAAUGCGUAGAUAUCGGGAGGAACACCUGCGGCGAAGGCGGCUUCCUGGACCGCAACCGACGCUGAGGCGCGAAAGCUAGGGGAGCAAACAGGAUUAGAUACCCUGGUAGUCCUAGCCCUAAACGAUGAGCACUGGGUGUGGCCCCUCACGAGGCCGUGCCGAAGCUAACGCAUUAAGUGCUCCGCCUGGGGAGUACGGUCGCAGGGCUGAA
rnacentral:rRNA from 1 species